UGGGGUGUGGCAGAGUCUUGCCUGGCAAUCACAAGGGCCUGGGUUCAAAACCCAGCACCCCAA
rnacentral:tRNA from 1 species